UACGUAGGGUGCAAGCGUUAAUCGGAAUUACUGGGCGUCAAGCGCGCGUAGGCGGCUUUGCGCAUCCACAGUGAAAGCCCUCGGCUCAACCGAGGGAGGUCUGCGGAGAUGGCCAGGCUGGAGGGCGGUAGAGGCAGGUGGAAGUCCCGAAGUAGUGGUGAAAUGCGUAGAGAUCGGGAGGAACACCCGUGGCGAAGGCGGCCUGCUGGGCCGUUCCUGACGCUGAGGCGCGAAAGCUAGGGGAGCGAACGGA
rnacentral:rRNA from 1 species